rnacentral:tRNA from 1 species
GGGCUUGUAGCUCAGUUGGAAGAGCGCCGCCUUUGCAAGGCGGAGGCCCUGGGUUCAAAUCCCAGCAAGUCCACUA